AAAAAAAUAUGUUAAGAAGAACAUUAAACAUAGACAACAUUAACACAAUGCUGUCUAACUCAUUCAUAGGAUGAGCUGAUUCGCUAGUUUUCCUUAAUUUGUUCUUCAUCUUGUACGAUCUUUCUUGUGCUUCUCAAUUGUUGUAAGUAAAUGCUUGUAUCUCUGAGUAGAUCAUAGGAUGCAAUCCAUUUUUUACAUCAUAGUUCAUCCCCAACACUCCCUCUGCAGGAGAUAACAUACUUUGUUGUAACUGUCCACGGCAUUGAUUUUUUUCCGCUUUGAAAGCAAUAAAGCCAUAUUGUCAAUAUGUUUUGUUAUCAAAAAUCUAUGAACUCCUUAUUGCUUUAAAUCCUUUGCUCGCCCAUC
rnacentral:lncRNA from 1 species